UCCGCAGGCGGGCCAGUAAGUCAGGGGUGAAAGUUUGCGGCUUAACCGUAAAAUUGCCUUUGAUACUGCUGGUCUUGAGUUGCGGUGAAGUGGCCGGAAUAUGUGGUGUAGCGGUGAAAUGCAUAGAUAUCACAUAGAACACCGAUUGCGAAGGCAGGUCACUAACCGCCGACUGACGCUGAUGGACGAAAGCGUGGGGAGCGAACAGGAUUAGAUACCCUGGUAGUCC
rnacentral:rRNA from 1 species